rnacentral:rRNA from 1 species
GACGAACGCUGGCGGCGUGCCUAAUACAUGCAAGUUGAGCGCUGAAGGUUGGUACUUGUACCGACUGGAUGAGCAGCGAACGGGUGAGUAACGCGUGGGGAAUCUGCCUUUGAGCGGGGGACAACAUUUGGAAACGAAUGCUAAUACCGCAUAAAAACUUUAAACACAAGUUUUAAGUUUGAAAGAUGCAAUUGCAUCACUCAAAGAUGAUCCCGCGUUGUAUUAGCUAGUUGGUGAGGUAAAGGCUCACCAAGGCGAUGAUACAUAGCCGACCUGAGAGGGUGAUCGGCCACAGUGGGACUGAGACACGGCCCAAACUCCUACGGGAGGCAGCAGUAGGGAAUCUUCGGCAAUGGACGAAAGUCUGACCGAGCAACGCCGCGUGAGUGAAGAAGGUUUUCGGAUCGUAAAACUCUGUUGGUAGAGAAGAACGUUGGUGAGAGUGGAAAGCUCAUCAAGUGACGGUAACUACCCAGAAAGGGACGGCUAACUACGUG